rnacentral:rRNA from 1 species
CCCUUAGAUGUUCUGGGCAGCACGCGCGCUACAAUGGUCUUCGCAAACGGAUGCAUUCUCGAAGGAGAAUGCCAAUCUUGGAAUCUAUGCCUUGGUCGGGACAGUUGCUUGCAAUUUUUCGACUCGAACCAGGAAUUCCUUGUAAUCGUGAUUCAUCACAUCACGAUGAAUACGUCCCUGCCCUUUCUACACACCGCCCGUCGCUCCUACCGAUCGAAGAGUUAGGUGAAUUGUUUUGAUCGAUAAGAUUUGACUAUGGUCAACUCUCGUUGUGAAAUUCUGUGAAUCUGACUGUUUAGAGGAAGGAAAAGUCGUAACA